rnacentral:rRNA from 1 species
AACAAACGCUGGCGGCGUGCCUAACACAUGCAAGUCGAACGCGAAAGGGACUUCGGUCCUGAGUAAAGUGGCGCACGGGUGAGUAACGCGUGGGUAAUCUGCCCCUCAGUUGGGAAUAACCCAUCGAAAGGUGGGCUAAUACCGAAUAAUGCUGUAUCGCCUCGGUGAUUCAGCCAAAGACGGCCUCUGCUUGCAUGCUGUCGCUGAGAGAUGAGCCCGCGUACCAUUAGCUUGUUGGUGGGGUAAUGGCCUACCAAGGCGACGAUGGUUAGCUGAUCUGAGAGGAUGAUCAGCCACACUGGAACUGAGACACGGUCCAGACUCCUACGGGAGGCAGCAGUGAGGAAUCUUGCGCAAUGGGGGAAACCCUGACGCAGCAACGCCGCGUGAGUGAGGAAGGCCUUCGGGUCGUAAAGCUCUGUCGGGUGGAAGAAACGACAUGGGUGCGUAAUACCAUCUAUGCUUGACGGUACCGCCAAAGGAAGACG